rnacentral:lncRNA from 1 species
CUUAUCUACUUACAUCUCCUCUAUGCAUGGAAAAACAACAUCAAAAUUCACUCGUGCGCUCAUAGCUCAUAUUGGAAUUUCGUCAAACACUUGAUGUGCGCAACUUAAAAUAGACCCAACUUUUUGCUGGAAAAACAACCGACUAUGCAAGAUAGAAAACAACCGACUAUUCAGCGUCUUUGUAGCAGUUUUAUUUCUUGUUCUUGGCACUGGGUCCCUCGAGGGGCAAACCGAGCAGCGGAUGCUGCAGCUCAGCGAGCUAGGCGGAGGAUGUGCGAUGAAGUUUGGGCUUCCAGCCCCCCAUCCUCUCUGGUUUUUGUGUUGCAAGCUGAUGGUCUUCCUUGCCCCCCGCGGUGCUAGGGAGUUUUGUGCUGGAGGCGGAUGGGCUCCCCUUUUGGAGGCGUCAUAGUUACUGGUCUCUAGCCUUGUUUCUUCUAGCAGUUGUGCGUUUUCUUGCUGUUGCUGUUGUUGUUUCCUUCUCUUUCUACCUUUGGUUUUUUGUCUGUUUCUCCCCUUGUUGUCUGUCUUUCGUGUUUGAAUGAAAGUUUCUAUUGACCAAAAAAAAAAAAAAAUGCAAGAUAGAAAACAACGUUAAUGUGAAAAUGAAAACAUAACUGGAAAAAAAAAAUUUGAAACUGAUUGCUACACAAAUUUAUACCAAUACAGAUAAUGAAUGGUACUGAUAAGAACGCAUGAUUUGGGGUAGAUGAAAAUGCAUAAUUUGGGAUAGAUAGAUGAAAAGCUGAUAAGAACGGAGACAAUAACACAUAAAUUACAUGUGUUAUGCAGGCAUACCAGUCAAAGUUUAAGACGUCGGCGCUGGAAUCGUUCGCAGUUAGUGUCGUCUUCAUUUUGUGACUAGUUUGAAAAAUUGAAUGUACCUAUGGACCCUAAUUUUGAAUGGCAGAGACAUUGGAGGCAAUCUAACCUUAGCGAAUAUGUGGUUUUCAAUGAUGGACAUGAAGCAAGGCUGAAAUGGAGGUAUA